CGAACGGGUGAGUAACACGUGGGUGAUCUGCCUUGCACUCUGGGAUAAGCUUGGGAAACUGGGUCUAAUACCGGAUAGGAACCGUCUUUAGUGUGGUGGUUGGAAAGUUUUUCGGUGCAAGAUGAGCUCGCGGCCUAUCAGCUUGUUGGUGGGGUAAUGGCCUACCAAGGCGUCGACGGGUAGCCGGCCUGAGAGGGUGUACGGCCACAUUGGGACUGAGAUACGGCCCAG
rnacentral:rRNA from 1 species